GAAGUUAAAGAAACCCUUCACUCCUUCUCCCUACAGGCAGAUACCUGUGAUGCGAAUUAAAAUAUAUGACAGACUUCUGUCUACACAUACUGUUUUCCACUACCCAAAUAAUAACCAGCUCGUCUGCACGACUGAAGCAUAGUUUAAAAACACCAGUUACAUCUGAACUGUUUGUGCCCAAAGUUAGGAUUUUCCCCUCCCUCCCCCCAGCUCUUUAAUUUAAUCAGUUAAGAGGACUAAAGCCAAGGAAGUGGCACGUGCAAUGUUUUGUUUGGCUUUUUAAGACGCUGUGCAGAACUACCUGUACCUGAAAGAAAAAGAGGAUGCCAAAGUGGUGGCGAUACUUUCUCGAGCAGAUUUGAUCAUUGGAGGUAAACAUGGAGUUAACUGGAUCUGAAUAACAGAGGUGGGUAACACUAUAUUGAACUAAGAUUAUAGCUAUUAACAUUUGCCAGAUGUUUUCAUUUCGGGCAGGUUUUCUAGCAAAGGCAGGUACAGGUAUUGAGUUUAAGUAAGAUGGAGAUACUAUAAUGUUCAACUAUAGACACUUUGUGAAUACUCAAUAUCCAAGUCAUCAGCUCCCAGGAAGACAGCUGUCAGUAAAAUGUUGUGGAAAGAGAUAGAGAUUAAAAUCUGUGGGGAAAAUAUUGCAGGUGUUAUUUAUUUAUUAUUAUUAUUAUUAUUAAUAAUAAUUGUAAUAAUAAUUAUAAUAACCAUUAAAUAUAAAUAACAAUCUCCAGACAACUCAGAACAUCCGAUAUUCUCAGGAGUGACUGAAAGGUUUGUAUAUGUUUGGGAUGCUCAGAGUUCUACUCUGCUUUUCAGACAGAAUUAUUUUAUUUACUCAGACAAAAAACUCUAAUUAAAAUCAAAUGGACUUUUACCUUUAUUAUUAAUCAGCCUCACCAUCAUCAUAAGCUUAUUUUUUACGGCAGCUAAAGCUUUCAAAGUGGGCCCAUAUGGGCCAGAUCCUGGAAAUUCCACUGAAGUCAGGAUUUGGUUUGAAAAUACUAAGUGCAGGCCCACUCAGAGGAAUAUAUAAAAGCGAAUCCUUGAAAGCAACCCAAAUGGAAAAUCGAACUAGUUUUAAAAUUCCCAGGUUACAGUCUCUAUUUAAUAGUUUUUGAAUAAUUAGGUUAAUACAUAUCAACUAUAUACCUAUCUUUAUCUCUCUAUAUAUUUUGCAUGAAUAUAAGUACAGAUGUGGGGCCUGAUCCUCUGUCCACUGAUAUCAUGGACAUUUUGCCUGUGACAUCAAUGGGAGCAGGAUCUGGCCCUUUUAUCAUUUUGUAUGGGCAUGCAGAUGGCGUGAUGACAGUAUUUUUCACAUGUUGAUUCCAGCCUGGUAUUUCUAUAGUUCGAGUUAAAACUCUAGAUUUUUUUCAACAGGGUAUUUUGUACCGAACUCAGGGAUGUUGUAGGUAUUAAGGAAAGUAUAUAAAUGCCUUCUUGUCCUAAACGCAAUAAAAUUUAUAUUGGGUAGGUGCCAUAGAAAUCACCGUCAAAACGCCCAUAGAUUUCAGUGGCAUCAGGUUCGACCCGUUUUCCAAACAUUUAUGACUAAUGCACCAUACGAUCACACAGGAAAUCCAAUCUCUAUGUAGUUUUACCAUCGAAGGGUCUUCUCCUCUGUUUCCUCCGCACCCAUUGGGGUCAAUGGGAGCUACGGUUCAGAGAUGAAUUCCUGACGAGAAAAGGAAGAAACAUUCUUCACAGAAUAUCACGCCUAGCACAGACAAACGUAACAUUCUGCUACAUUCUGCUAGCCCUGAAUUGAUCCUGACAAAGAACCGAAAACAAACAAUGGCUUCUUAUGUUUUCUAAACAUUUUCAUUUUUAACAAAAAAAAUGUUUUUAAAACGUUUACUUUGUAUAAUACGCACCUACACCGUUCGUCCAAUAGUUUAGGUAAUAAAUAAGGUUGUUUUUAUGUAACCCUUUAAAAAGCAGUAUGUCUGUAUCAUUCACAAUACAGGCUCUCUAUAUAAUCCUGUUUCAAAUAUACAAACACACACGUUACGAGGUUGUGUGUGUUUGUGGAUCUACUUCUCAGAAGAAAUGCACUAUCAAAACAUUAAUUAUAUUUGAAAGGGAGACGAUUAUUUGUCUGAGAAAGAAUUACAUCCUUAAAUGUAUAUUCCGCACAGAUCUCGUCUCUUGUCUGCAACGAGGGUUGCAAUUGUAGAUCUGUCUCAAAUGCUGUACCCUAAAAUGCAGGAAGGUGUAUCACAUUACAGUUGUAGAGAAAAGGGAGAUAUUCCAUUUCUUUUACACACAUCUGUACGAUAGUCGUUAAGGGAAUGUUGAAAUCGACAUGCAGUUGAAACGGGAACAUGUUAAGAACAUACAUUCGUUUUAUUUACUACCGGAAACACGAUGAUUUUUAACAUAUAGACACAGGGAUGACCCCAGUUAGUUAUUAAACACUGUAAUUCACAGGGGUUUUGGCCUACAAGUCCUGUUUAUUUUUUUAAAUGCCAGACUUGACAUGCACAUAUUACUUUAGCUUGUAAUUAAAAUCUACCAACGGUGUGAAUCAUCAAUGAUACUUUUUAGAUUGUAGUUUAUUUACUGGGCUUUAAAUGAUUAAUAACCCGAUUAAACAGAUUUCCUCAUCUAGCUAAACUUGUGCUGCGAAUAAUAAUGAUGAUGACAACUCCUUUUGAAUACUAGCUGUAGCAGGGAAUCUUGAAAUCCAUUCAUCUGAGUAUAUUUUGUUCUGGUCUUUUUCAAGUACUGCUCCAUACUCCUGCUUUUUUAGUUCCUCCGCAACGCCAGGACUGGUAGUCACUGAUGAGAGCCCCUAAUUCAGAUUCAGUGUCUGGAUCCUUAUUUUCAUGUUUGGGGUGACGGGAGAAGGCGAUUUGUCCCUAAAAUGUACUAAGUAGUGAGGCCAUGGGAGACCUGCUUAGCAUCUGGGCCUCAGGAGAUGGGUACUUUACCCCUUCGGAGUGGUUCCCGGAUCAUCUUUCUUUGGCUACAGGAAAAUGCCAGGGGGGUUAGGGGGCUGAAGAGAGCUCGCCACAGGCGUGAGGCAGACGGAGCAGUGUAGAGUGCGUUAUUGUGUGUGGCUGUUUCUGGGCUGUGUUCUCUACCCCAGUAGGUAUCUUUGGAAGAAGAAGGUGACAUGAAGAGGCGCGUCUGACAGCCAAAGUGGGGGAACUGUCCGGGAGAAGGACACGUGAUGAAUUGAGAGCUGCGUGGUCACGGUGCAAAGGGAGAAUAGGACAGUGUGCUGGUACCAAAUGCCUUUUUCCCCCCUGCUUGAACAACACAAAAAAUGGGGGGAGGGGAAGAGAGAUGGGGGUUGGGAGGGAGAGAUCCGUGGAGUUAGUGGCUGUCUAGAGUGUAAACACGAACCCAUCAUCUUCUCGGGAGGAGGGGAGUCUGCUUUUGUCAAACCUGCUAGUGUCUGGAAGAUAAAGGCAAAGAGGCCACUGGACCAGCCUGAGAUUCUGCCUUGAAAUCUGGACCCGAAAUGAUUCAAAGGACAAAAAGGGGGAAAAUAAUCCUAAAAUCUCCCAGGCAGGCAGCUGUCCGGGGUUAAAACCGGUUAUUUGUUAAUUGCCUUGAUAUCGUAGAGAGGAAAGGCUGCCACAGAACGCGGGGGGGCGGGGGGAGGUUUCAAAUAAUAUCUGAUUCCUCUGGUAACUUGGUACAAGUCUCAAUUUAGCUGCAGCCCAGGCAGCUCUGGAGGUUUAGGGGAGAUGUAAAUGUUGUAACUUCUCGGAUUGCGUGUGACCCUGAGCGGUACUGCUAUGAUUUCAAUAAACACUUUACAAUCGA